rfam:Daucus carota subsp. sativus cultivar DH1 chromosome 7, whole genome shotgun sequence.
GGUUCGAUGCCACGUCGACGGUAGCGAAAGUGCAAUGACCGACGAUGCUACGAUUGAACCUAUAUUAAUUUACGUGUUUCGCAUUCUAUAGGAACCUGUGGAUUCUAUUUUUUCCGUAUGUCCAUGGAGCCGUUUUUUGCGAUUACAUUU